UACGGAGGGUGCAAGCGUUAUCCGGAUUUACUGGGUUUAAAGGGUGCGUAGGUGGGCCUGUAAGUCAGUGGUGAAAUCUCCGGGCUUAACCCGGAAACUGCCAUUGAUACUAUAGGUCUUGAAUUAUCUGGAGGUGAGCGGAAUAUGUCAUGUAGCGGUGAAAUGCUUAGAUAUGACAUAGAACACCAAUUGCGAAGGCAGCUCACUACGGAUAUAUUGACACUGAGGCACGAAAGCGUGGGGAUCGAAACAGG
rnacentral:rRNA from 1 species